rnacentral:lncRNA from 1 species
AAUUUGUACAGUACUACUAGUACUUCAAAAACAAUAUUACUUCUGUUGGACAGAGGAAGAGACAGAAGAUUCCACUGUGCGUCUAGCCUUAUUCAAAAACAAUGAAAAUAAAGUGUCUCUUCCAAAAUCACCAAAGAUGGUACAGCCCAGAAGAGAUGGUUACUUUGAAGGUAUAGAAGAAGACCCUAUCCACAAAGAUACCACUGCAAAUGAAAAAUUAGAACGGAAUAGAGAAUAUACAUACCAAUGGCUUCACACACAGGUUGGGGUUCAUGAAACGACUAGUUCCAGAAAUAUGAAAUGCAAUCACUUUUUGCCUGAGUUAGAUCCAGAUGUACUUAAUGGUGGAAGAGUUCAGCUUGUGGUAAGAAAUGUGCUUAAAGUUACAGAAAAAUGUUGUAGACACUAGUGCUCAAAUAAAUGGCACUUUAAGAUAUGUUUAUAAUUAAACUAUGAAAAUAUCACAACUGUAUCUAUUUGGGAUAAUAUCAAAAUAUCAUGUGUUAAAAUAAUAACAUGUUUUCUUGACUUGUAAUACAAUUUAAAAUGUGACAUUGCUUAAAAAUGUUAAUUUUAUGUGACAGAUGUAAAAAUAUUAGC